GUUAGAGCGCGCGCUUGAUAAGCGUGAGGUCGGAAGUUCAAGUCUUCCCAGGCCCACCACACUCAUCGAGUGAGCAUUCGUCUUCUGGUUACGGGGCCAUAGCUCAGCUGGGAGAGCGCGUGCUUUGCAAGCAUGAGGUCGUCGGUUCGAUCCCGUCUGGCUCCACCAGAUGGUUUGAUCACCGACUACUCAUACCGUCGUCCGCGAAACAUCACUUCGCACUUACUAGUCCGGAUGGACAGUAAGCUGCGUGAUUUCUGACAUCGUAAAGAGGAGAUCGAUCCGAGUUGGAUCGGGCAACAAGCAAUUGUUGCGCGAUACUUCAUUAUCUCCGGAUCAUUUCGGCGCUCGUGCGUCUUCCAGGGUAGCUCACAAGGCUGCAUCUGAAAGACAAGCGAGUUGUAAAUGAUCCUUUUAGCGAAGCUUGACCGCCUCGCUAUCGGAACGAUCUUACGAAGCAAGCUGGUCUUUCUAAUCAUUGUCCGGCUGCAGAUAGCGUUCAUCGAGGGCGCGUGCCUUAGAGACUUAGGUUUCUUGGUAAUUCUGCAGACAACAUUCUGCCGAGUGUGUGGACAUUGAUAAUGAGAGCAAUCAAGUGCCUUAAGGGUGUUCGGUGGAUGCCUUGGCGCUGAGAGGCGAUGAAGGACGUGCUACGCUGCGAUAAGCCGUGGGGAGCUGCGAAGAAGCUUUGAUCCAUGGAUUUCC
rnacentral:misc_RNA from 1 species